UACAGAGGUCCCAAGCGUUGUUCGGAUUCAUUGGGCGUAAAGGGUGCGUAGGUGGCGCUGUAAGUCGGGUGUGAAAUUUCGGAGCUUAACUCCGAAACUGCAUUCGAUACUGCGGCGCUUGAGGACUGGAGAGGAGACUGGAAUUCAUGGUGUAGCAGUGAAAUGCGUAGAGAUCAUGAGGAAGACCAGUGGCGAAGGCGGGUCUCUGGACAGUUCCUGACACUGAGGCACGAAGGCCAGGGGAGCAAACGGG
rnacentral:rRNA from 1 species